UACAGAGGGUGCGAGCGUUAAUCGGAAUUACUGGGCGUAAAGCGUGCGUAGACGGCUAUCUAAGUCGGGUGUGAAAGCCCCGGGCUCAACCUAGGAAUUGCGCUUGAGACUGGAUAGCUUGGAGUGCGGCAGAGGGAGGUGGAAUUCCACGUGUAGCAGUGAAAUGCGUAGAGAUGUGGAGGAACACCGAUGGUGAAGGCAGCCUCCUGGGCCAGCACUGACGCUCAUGCACGAAAGCGUGGGGAGCAAACAGG
rnacentral:rRNA from 1 species